rnacentral:rRNA from 1 species
AGUGAACGCUGGCGGCAGGCCUAACACAUGCAAGUCGAACGGUAGCACAGUAAGAGCUUGCUCUUACCGGUGGCGAGUGGCGGAGGGGUGAGGAAUACAUCGGAAUCUAUUUUUUCGUGGGGGAUAACGUAGGGAAACUUACGAUAAUACCGCAUACGACCUACGGGUGAAAGCAGGGGAUCUUCGGACCUUGCGCGAGUGAAUGAGCCGAUGUCGGAUUAGCUAGUUGGCGGGGUAAAGGCCCACCAAGGCGACGAUCCGUAGCUGGUCUGAGAGGAUGAUCAGCCACACUGGAACUGAGACACGGUCCAGACUCCUACGGGAGGCAGCAGUGGGGAAUAUUGGACAAUGGGCGCAAGCCUGAUCCAGCCAUGCCGCGUGGGUGAAGAAGGCCUUCGGGUUGUAAAGUCCUUUUAUUGGGGAAGAAGAGCAGCAAGUUAAUACCCCGCUGUUCUGACGGUACCCAAAGAAUAAGCACCGGCUAACUUCGUG